rnacentral:rRNA from 1 species
GACGAACCGUGCGAAUGUUGUUCGGAAUCACUGGGCUUAAAGGGCGCGUAGGCGGGUGUCCAAGUCAGGGGUGAAAUACUCCAGCUUAACUGGAGAACUGCCUGUGAUACUGGACGUCUGGAGUGAGGUAGGGGCAUGUGGAACUUCCGGUGGAGCGGUGAAAUGCGUAGAUAUUGGGAGGAAUGCCGGUGGCGAAGGCGGCUCCCUGGACCGGUACUGACGCUGAGGCGCGAAAGCGUGGGUAGCAAACAGG